rnacentral:rRNA from 1 species
UACGUAGGGGGGCAAGCGUUGUCCGGAUUUAUUGGGCGUAAAGAGCGUGUAGGCGGUUAUGCAGGUCCGCUGUGAAAACUGGAGGCUUAACCUCCAGACGUCGGUGGAAACCGUAUGACUAGAGUCCGGAAGAGGAGAGUGGAAUUCCUGGUGUAGCGGUGAAAUGCGCAGAUAUCAGGAAGAACACCCGUAGCGAAGGCGGCACUCUGGGCCGGAACUGACGCUGAGGAGCGAAAGCGUGGGGAGCGAACAGG